GAUGAACGCUGGCGGCGUGCCUAAUACAUGCAAGUCGAGCGAACAGACGAGGAGCUUGCUCCUCUGACGUUAGCGGCGGACGGGUGAGUAACACGUGGAUAACCUACCUAUAAGACUGGGAUAACUUCGGGAAACCGGAGCUAAUACCGGAUAAUAUAUUGAACCGCAUGGUUCAAUAGUGAAAGACGGUUUUGCUGUCACUUAUAGAUGGAUCCGCGCCGCAUUAGCUAGUUGGUAAGGUAACGGCUUACCAAGGCAACGAUGCGUAGCCGACCUGAGAGGGUUAUCGGCCACACUGGAACUGAGACACGGUCCAGACUCCUACGGGAGGCAGCAGUAGGGAUUCUUCCGCAAUGGGCGAAAGCCUGACGGAGCAACGCCGCGUGAGUGAUGAAGGUCUUCGGAUCGUAAAACUCUGUUAUUAGGGAAGAACAAAUGUGUAAGUAACUAUGCACGUCUUGACGGUACCUAAUCAGAAAGCCACGGCUAACUACGUG
rnacentral:rRNA from 1 species